GUAUCGUUUUGGCGGCAUGGCCGAGCGGUAAGGCGGAGGACUGCAAAUCCCUGUUCCCCAGUUCAAAUCCGGGUGUCGCCUGAUCAACAAGAGAAUUUAAAUAGUUUAUUCCGUAA